rnacentral:sRNA from 1 species
GCUGGGCGUGAUGGCGAAUGCCUGUAAUCCCAGUGGCUCAGGAGGCUGAGGCAGGAGGAUCAUGAGUUCAGAGCCAGCCUCAGAAAAAGUGAGGUGCUAAGCAACUCAGUGAGACCCUGUCUUUA